rnacentral:tRNA from 1 species
GCGGGUGUGGCGGAAUUGGCAGACGCGCAGGAUUCAGGUUCCUGUGCCCGUUAAGGGCGUGGAGGUUCAACUCCUCUCACCCGCA